rnacentral:tRNA from 1 species
AAUACCGGCCUGUCACGCCGGGGGUCGCGGGUUCGAGCCCCGUCCGCUGCGCCA